CCACCCCCAUCUCUCUCUGUAGAUGACAUUAACAUGUCCUUAGUCGCCGUGUUCUCCAGAACCACUGCAUCUAGAACCUAACCGAGCUAGUUAGUGCCACAAUAGGGAAGACCAGCUUGAAAACGGUUAGGAAAAAAAUGGCAGGCACCUAUCAGAUGAAUCUCAUCUUAGGGGGUCUAAGGCUGCUUGAAAGCAGGUAGGCAGCUUUGAGCUGUGAGCGCCCUUCACAUGCACUUUGGAGCAGCAGACGCUAAGCCAGCUCUUCCCCAGUAAGGUAGGAAGAAAACGAGGGGGCUGAGUUUGGGAGAGUUCUGAAAAUUCUAACAAGCCUUCUUUGUUUAUCUUCUCUAGGCUUCCGCAGCCGGUCUGCAUGUAGUUGGGAUAAAUUCAGCCCAGGAGGAAAAUCAGCGCUGCCUCCCCCUCUCUCCUCCCAUUUUAGGUGAGAGGAGGAGGUGCCGUGGGGGUAGAGAAAGAUCUGGAGAGCUCGCCAGCUGCGUACUGAAGUAACAUCUGAAACACAUCUGGCUUCUGCUGAGGACACAGCGCUAUGUCAGAGGAGAGGAAGAAGCUGGAAAGGAACCGUUGUGGAGUUGGCAUAUGGGUCACUCUGAAAAAACACAGCAAACCACAGAUGACUCAGUGAUGCAGGAUGCUCUUCAGCAAGUCUGAGGACCCUAAUAAAACCGGAGCCACAGUCACGGUGUGCCCACUGGCCAGCUCUCCUAAAUCAUUAUUCUGUGCUUCUUAGAAACUUCAAGGGAUGCCACUCUUUUGAACAUUUGAAGCCCUAAAGCCACUGACAUCACAUAACUGAAAGUUUUGAUCAUCACCAAUCCCAUCUUAGCUUCCAACUGACCACACUCCUCCCUACUCCAUCACCGCUGAUGCAGUUUCCCUGUUGGUAACAUCAGUUAAACUGACCACACUCCUCCCUACUCCAUCACCGUUGAUGCAGUUUCCCUGUUGGUAACAUCAGUUAAAGCAGAAGUUAAGCCCAAACUGCUUACACCAAGCUUCAAGUGCUUACUUGGAGCAACAAGCAAAGAACAAUGAGUUGUCUCACAAGCUGACACCAGCAACUCUUUCCCUGUCCACAAAAUGUUCACCAAUAUCUGCAGAAUACCAGCACACUUACAAGCAGCUCCUAGAACUGCAGUGCUCAGAUGUCAGGAUGAGGUACUGCAGUGCACAAUAUUUUUAGCAUCCUUUCCCAACUGGCACAAUUUCUCAAAAGACAGUGUUGCUAUGCACCUACGCAUUCACUGAAUAGAAUGUGACCUUUCUUUUACCUUUUGCUUAAUUUUAUUCUUGAAGUUUGGUUGUAAUACAGCAGUAAGAUAUGAGCUACAACUUGCCUCUUGAGAUGCGCCAUGAGGUACCGGAGCGUCUCGCAGUGGGCAGGCGGCAGCGAUCUCAGUGCUUCGUGAAGGGUCUCCAAUUGCUCGUCAGGGUCCAUAAUUUCUACAACAUCAAGGAGAGAUGCUCUAGCAGAAAACUGAUGUGAGCUCAUGGGAUGCUUUGUAAAGCUAGUGACAACGAUUUCUCACAGCCAAAACCCAGCUGUCCAAGGCCACCUUAGGUUCAGGGUGGGAAUAGAGUUUGAUGGGCCUUUUCCAUCACCUGAGGGUCUUAGGGUCUGGCACAUGAGGAAAGUGGAUACACAAGAUAUUGGGUAUGCAGCUCUAUCACAUGCAGAUACAUGUAGAGACAUGGAGAAAGCCUUACACAUACUAAGGAGUUCAUCUGACAAUGGCAUACAUAUUGCUCAGGAUAUUAAAAAUCCCUUUGUAUACAUGACAAGGUGGUCCACUGCCCCUGUGAUUCCUGGCAAGUCUUCCUGAUAAUUUUUUUCAUGACAUUGUUUUUCUUUGGAGUGAUACGGAAGAACUCAUGCCUCAUGCAUGCCAGGCAAGCACUCUACCACUGAGCAAUAGGCCAGCUCUUUAUUCUUCUAAAUCAAGAAAUGGAGCAUCUACCAUUUGUUUGCUGUACUUAUUACACUCAGUGUUAUAUAACAAAAUGAAGUCUCCCUUCAAAGCAUGGGCACUCUCCAUUUCUCGAGUAUGUUCUGAAGAACACACUGCACACAAGUCUAAGUGUGCUGUGCCAUGGUGGGACCCUGGAUAAGGGGUUCCCCUAAAGGAGUCCAUCAUGAAGGGAGACCUCCAUCUGGUCAUCUGAGAGCUGCACUGAGGCCCAUACACCAGCCACUUUCCAUAAGAACUCUGCUCGAGCUAUCAAUCACACCUGUAAUACAAGGAGCUGAUGCUGUCGGAACUCUGUGCUCUUUAAGAGCACCACAGUACACCAGCUCUCUGGUUACAGGAGUGCCUUACGUGCUGGUCUCAGCCAACCACAACAGGACCUCACACUCCUAACCAACAUGAUAACCUCAAAAUGCUGGGAAGACUCCAUCGGCCCUGUAUCCAAUGUUUGAGACAGAAGACUGAAACUCUAGUCUCUAACAAAUAACCAACCCAGCUCAAUGGCAAUGUAGACUGGGUCCAGUAAAUGCCAGUGCAGAGCAAAGGCUGGGCUCAGGCACGCAGAGCAGAUCUAAUGACUGUCAGAAUAUAUAUCAUCAGUGACUGAGGCCAUUUAGUUCAAAAGGACCUUUGACUACUCUACAGUUUUGGUCCAAAGCUUUCUCAAUUCCCUGUUCAUUUCUUUAUAAUAAAGAAUAUGUGUUUUGCCUUUUGCCAUA
ensembl:antisense Chn1os3 chimerin 1, opposite strand 3